UUAUAAAUUUAUGAAUAUCUUAUGGUAUUCCUCCACUCUGCCUAUAUAAUUCAUAUUUUGUUUCAUGAAAAAUCUCAUUCAAGGUUAUUUUAUCUCUUCUUCAUUACAAUAGCAUACAUAAGGGUGAGGAAGAACAUGCUAAUCAUCCCAUAAUACAAUUUAUUUCACGUGAAGAACUAUGGUUUGUAAAGCCGUAAAGAAACUAUGGGGAUGAGGAAGAAGGUGAACAAGAUAUAAAAGGAGAGAAAAUCAAGCAAAUUCAGAAGAAGAUGAUGUAGAGUCUUAUAAUAAAAUUAUUAUUGUAGUAAUUUCUUCUAUUUAAUUUUCAAACCCUUCUUCUCUAUUAUUCAUGUAUGUGCUCUAUUGAUGAAUUUUAAAAAUAUUUUUUCCCUCCUA